UUUUGCAGCCUCGCCGGUUACCUGUGUCCAUGUUUUUAAUAUUAAGCUCAUUAAUCUUGUAAUCACCAACUAUUACAACUCAGACGUUAGUCCUCAUACCAAGGAGAACCAAUAUGUUGCUUAAAGUCUUUUCUACUUCUAAAACUUCAACACCAUUCGGUUUCACUGACACUUGAUUUCGUUUAUUUGCAAUUUCUCAGAUGAAAUUCAUGCAAAAACAUUGUCAAAAUCUGACAAGUUCUCUAUUGAAAUUCAUUUUGUGCAAUUAAGAUCGAAGAUAGAGUAU